rnacentral:rRNA from 1 species
UGGGGAAUUUUGCACAAUGGGCGCAAGCCUGAUGCAGCCAUGCCGCGUGUAUGAAGAAGGCCUUCGGGUUGUAAAGUACUUUUAGCGGGGAGGAAGGGAGUAAAGUUAAUACAUUGGCUCAUUGACGUUACCCGCAGAAGAAGCACCGGCUAACUCCGUGCCAGCAGCCGCGGUAAUACGGAGGGUGCAAGCGUUAAUCGGAAUUACUGGGCGUAAAGCGCACGCAGGCGGUUUGUUAAGUCAGAUGUGAAAUCCUCGGGCUCAACCUGGGAACUGCAGCUGAUACUGGCAAGCUGGAGUAUCGUAGAGGGGGGUAGAAUUCCAGGUGUAGCGGUGAAAUGCGUAGAGAUCUGGAGGAAUACCGGUGGCGAAGGCGGCCCCCUGGGCGAAGACUGACGCUCAGGUGCGAAAGCGUGGGGAGCAAACAGG